UGUAACGAGCGCGGCUUUGACUUCGGGAUGUUUUCGGUCACCAUGUCCUGCAAUGGGCAUCCUCCGAGGUAGCCAAUGGUGAGACCGGCGCACGGAGAA
rnacentral:ncRNA from 1 species